UACGGAGGGUGCGAGCGUUAUCCGGAUUCACUGGGUUUAAAGGGUGCGUAGGUGGGCAGGUAAGUCAGUGGUGAAAUCUCCGGGCUUAACCCGGAAACUGCCAUUGAUACUAUCAGUCUUGAAUACCGUGGAGGUAAGCGGAAUAUGUCAUGUAGCGGUGAAAUGCUUAGAUAUGACAUAGAACACCAAUUGCGAAGGCAGCUCACUACGGGAUUAUUGACACUGAGGCACGAAAGCGUGGGGAUCAAACAGG
rnacentral:rRNA from 1 species